rnacentral:rRNA from 1 species
AUUGAACGCUGGCGGCAUGCUUUACACAUGCAAGUCGAACGGUAACAGGCCUUCGGGUGCUGACGAGUGGCGAACGGGUGAGUAAUGCAUCGGAACGUACCCAGAGGUGGGGGAUAACGCAGCGAAAGCUGUGCUAAUACCGCAUGUGAUCUGAGGAUGAAAGCGGGGGACCGAGCAGCAAUGUUUGGCCUCGCGCCUUUGGAGCGGCCGAUGUCGGAUUAGCUAGUUGGUGGGGUAAAGGCCUACCAAGGCGACGAUCCGUAGCUGGUCUGAGAGGACGACCAGCCACACUGGGAGUGAGACACGGCCCAGACUCCUACGGGAGGCAGCAGUGGGGAAUUUUGGACAAUGGGCGCAAGCCUGAUCCAGCAAUGCCGCGUGCGGGAAGAAGGCCUUCGGGUUGUAAACCGCUUUUGGCAGGAACGAAACGGUGUCCGCUAAUACCGGGCGCUAAUGACGGUGCCUGCAGAAUAAGCACCGGCUAACUACGUG